rnacentral:rRNA from 1 species
CUGCUAUCGGAUUGAUACUAAGCCAUGCGAGUCAUUGUAGCAAUACAAGGCAUACGGCUCAGUAACGCGUAGUCAACCUAACCUAUGGACGGGAAUAACCUCGGGAAACUGAGAAUAAUGCCCGAUAGAACAUUAUGCCUGGAAUGGUUUAUGUUCCAAAUGAUUUAUCGCCGUAGGAUGGGACUGCGGCCUAUCAGUUUGUUGGUGAGGUAAUGGCCCACCAAGACUAUUACAGGUACGGGCUCUGAGAGGAGUAGCCCGGAGAUGGGUACUGAGACACGGACCCAGGCCCUAUGGGGCGCAGCAGGCGAGAAAACUUUGCAAUGUGCGAAAGCACGACAAGGUUAAUCCGAGUGGUUUCUGCUAAAGGAACCUUUUGUCAGUCCUAGAAACACUGAUGAAUAAGGGGUGGGCAAGUUCUGGUGUCAGCCGCCGCGGUAAAACCAGCACCUCAAGUGGUCAGGAUGAUUAUUGGGCCUAAAGCAUCCGUAGCCGGCUCUGUAAGUUUUCGGUUAAAUCUGUACGCUCAACGUACAGGCUGCCGGGAAUACUGCAGAGCUAGGGAGUGGGAGAGGUAGACGGUACUCGGUAGGAAGGGGUAAAAUCCUUUGAUCUAUCGAUGACCACCGGUGGCGAAGGCGGUCUACCAGAACACGUCCGACGGUGAGGGAUGAAAGCUGGGGGAGCAAACCGGAUUAGAUACCCGGGUAGUCCCAGCUGUAAACCAUGCAAACUCAGUGAUGCAUUGGCUUGUGGCCAAUGCAGUGCUGCAGGGAAGCCGUUAAGUUUGCCGCCUGGGAAGUACGUACGCAAGUAUGAAACUUAAAGGAAUUGGCGGGGGAGCACCACAAGGGGUGAAGCCUGCGG